UGAGAACAACACCCGCUGGACUGGGUCCCAACAGAGAGCGGUCACCCCACCUGAGAGGACAGACACAACCAGACAUCAGUCACAAGGUCAUUUAUAUUUGAAGCUUCAGAUCUUCGGUCAAAACAAUCAAAGAAUUUGAAGUUAUUCAUAAAUUGAUAAUUCAAUUUAUGAACCAGUCUCUUUGUCUUCCUUUACUUUUCUACUUGAAUUUUGGUUAUUUUCAUUGCAUAUUUACUUCUCCACUAAGACGCCUGAAAGAAGAGGAAUAAAGGCUGAAUUCAAUCUGA